CGUCUUUUGCACUAAUGAACAGUUACCAAUUUGACUCUUUAUAUGCAUCAUUAAUAAAUCUAAAAUGAACAUUUAUAUGGCUAGCACAUCAUUAACACACCGAUUUUCAGAUGUGUCUAUGCAGUGCCGACUUAUCUUUUAAAAUAAAGAUGCCAUGAACCAGGUUUUGUCCAGAAUGGGAUUUUUCUAUGUACUUUACACUGCCUGAUCAUCUCAAGAGAUCGACUCCGGUAUAAAACAAGAAGAUGGAUAUAUUGAAAAAAUAGUCACAUGUGACUUCUUUAUUUAAUCAUGAUAUUCGUGAAAUACCAAUAGUAAUAAUUAUAUAAACAGUAAUAACAGUUUAUAUACAUCCUGGAACAAUUGUUUUCUAUAAAUAUACAUAAUAUAUACAGAGGACAUCACAGGCGAAAAAAUAUGUAACAUUACUAAGCUGUGGACACUCAGUGUUAUUUUGUUUAAAGAAAUUACGUCAAGAAUGAGUGACCUUGCUCUAUUCCUAACAACAAAAACUCAAUAAACGUUUGGAAAAUAUCACUUUCCUUUUAGUCAAAACAAAAAAAAAACAUAAAUACUAUUCAAGGGAUUAAUCUAAAAUGUUUCUCUCAUGAAUCAAAAUUUUCAACAAAAAAAUGUCAUAAACAAGGCAAAACAUGCUUAAAGAUGACCAAUCAUUACAAUCAUUAUAAAUUCUUUGAGUAAAAAAAACUUAAGGAUAAAAUUUUCUAAACAACUCUAACAGUAUAUGCAUUCAAUAAACUGUUGUCGUUCUUAUAUGGGUGUUUUUAGUAAAACAAAAAUACUGUAAAAAUAUCUCUAAAUCAAACAAUUUGGACAAAUCAUUAACAAAAAGUCUUAAGAAUAGAACAACUGUCAAUAGCUUAGUUUAUAAUAUGUUAACAAUGUAGCAAAUGGCACACUAUUAUGCACAAUGUACUUUAUGUUGAUGAAAACAUGAAAAUACAAGAAAUAAUGAAAUCAGUGAAAGAUGACAGAUAGAAUGAGAAAAUGAUGAAAUAAUGACGUCAUAGAAAUGAGAAUGAAACAAAAACAGAUAUGACUAAACUUUGUGACAGAAGUACAAAAAAUGGCGACACAAAAAAAACGCAUUUAUGGACGAAACUUUUAAUGGGCUUUGCCCAAUGAAAAUGGAAUGACGGGAGACACGCCUGGUCACGUGAUUCAUUUUAACUGUGUAUUCGCCUUUCUACAGCUUGAAAUAUACAUAUAUCUUUAUACUUAUAAUUAAUCAUUAACUAUAUGGAUUGAAUAUUUUUCGUCUAGGAUAAAUUUUGUAGAAAAGAGGUUUGUCCAAAUAGGCUGAGAGGAGAGAGAUAAAAUAUUUCAAGGUUAAGAAGUUUCAAGGUCAAAAUAAAUUUCAAGAUUGUUAUAAAAUAAAUACAAAGAUUCUAAAUAUACAUAAAAUCAUCAAAAUGCAAAACAAAUCAAAAAUGCACAAAAA